rnacentral:rRNA from 1 species
UACGUAGGGGGCGAGCGUUGUCCGGAAUUACUGGGCGUAAAGAGCACGUAGGCGGAGACUUAAGUCAGGUGUGAAAGACCGGGGCUCAACCCCGGGAUUGCAUUUGAAACUGGGUCCCUUGAGGGCAGGAGAGGAAAGCAGAAUUCCUGGUGUAGCGGUGAAAUGCGUAGAAAUCAGGAGGAAUACCAGUGGCGAAGGCGGCUUUCUGGACUGUCCCUGACGCUGAGGUGCGAAAGCGUGGGUAGCAAACAGG